CCUACGGGUGGCAGCAGUGGGGAAUAUUGCGCAAUGGGCGAAAGCCUGACGCAGCGACGCCGCGUGAGGGAUGAAGGUCUUCGGAUCGUAAACCUCUGUCAGCAGGGAAGAACGGUCACUGUGCUAAUCAGCAGUGAAUUGACGGUACCUGCAAAGGAAGCACCGGCUAACUCCGUGCCAGCCGCCGCGGUAAUACGGAGGGUGCGAGCGUUAAUCGGAAUUACUGGGCGUAAAGCGCUCGUAGGCGGUAUGUCAAGUCAAGGGUGAAAUCCCCGCGCUCAACGUGGGAACUGCCUUUGAAACUGGCAAACUGGAGUGUGUGAGAGGAUAGUGGAAUUCCAGGUGUAGGAGUGAAAUCCGUAGAUAUCUGGAGGAACAUCAGUGGCGAAGGCGACUAUCUGGCACAUAACUGACGCUGAGGAGCGAAAGCGUGGGAAUCAAACAGGAUUAGAUACCCCAGUAGUC
rnacentral:rRNA from 1 species